rnacentral:lncRNA from 1 species
CUCCUUGUCCCACUGUAUGAGAAACCUCAUCCCUGCUCCUGAUCCAGGACUGGUUUCAAGUCUGCUGAUAAUGGAAAUGUGAAUUGUUCUGAAUUUUGUGUUGCUUGGGACCAGUGUUUGUGUGACAAUGCUGUCACUACAGACCAGGAAAAACAGUCUCAGCAUCCAGAAGAGAUGGAAUAGCUGCAGGCCAUGUGGGCAGACACAGAGCACCUUUUGUUUUGUUACUGGCAAGGAGAACCAA